rnacentral:lncRNA from 1 species
GUCUGGAUGGAAACUGAAUGGCAGAACAUUUCAGUAAUUCGGGUCUGGGAAUUAGGGGAUCUGAUUUUCAUUCCUGCUCUACAAUAGUUUCUUCCACUGCUGAUUAAAUCAGGAAAAAAUUAAUGUAUGAAUUCCUCACAUUAAAUUUGGGCGCUUCAAAUAUGUGCCUGCAGUUGAAAGCUUACUGUAAUCUUCCUAUAGGAAUAUGAGAUUUUCAUUGGAGAGAAAGGCAUCUACAUCAGAUUGGUGAAAUUUAGAUGAAUUGAACCAGUGUCUGAAAUUCCCUUCUCUUUGCACAGACUGUUGGAUGUUAAGGUGUCUGCAUUCAUGGCCCCAGAUAAAUGCCUCAUGUUUUUAAGGCUUUCUGGAAGAAUAUCUACUUUGUUUAUGCACCAGUAUCAUCAGCAGGAUUGGCAUGGCCUUGGGGUGUUGACCAAUGUCUUGGCUCAUCGAGAUUGAUAGAUAUAAUCCAAAGAGUCUACGUUCUGGCCAUUAGCUGUCCCUGACAGCCUCAACACUUCCCUCUCAAGGAUACAACAGCAGAAGUCAACAAGAGUUCAUGCAUAAUGUAUAUAUUUGCCUCUGUUGGUUCUUGCCUCUUUAUAUUACCUGUCUGCAAAGGGUAUAACAACAUGUUAUAAAAUGUCACACUUCUGCACUGAAGUUUCC